rnacentral:rRNA from 1 species
AUUGAACGCUGGCGGCAUGCCUUACACGUGCAAGUCGAACGGCAGCAUGGAAGAGCUUGCUCUUCUGAUGGCGAGUGGGCGAACGGGUGAGUAAAGCAUCGGAACGUACCGUGUAGUGGGGGAUAACGUAGCGAAAGUUACGCUAAUACCGCAUACGCACUGAGGUGGAAAGCAGGGGAUCGCAAGACCUUGCGCUAUACGAGCGGCCGAUGUCAGAUUAGCUAGUUGGUAGGGUAAAGGCCUACCAAGGCGACGAUCUGUAGCGGGUCUGAGAGGAUGAUCCGCCACACUGGGACUGAGACACGGCCCAGACUCCUACGGGAGGCAGCAGUGGGGAAUUUUGGACAAUGGGCGAAAGCCUGAUCCAGCCAUGCCGCGUGAGUGAAGAAGGCCUCGGGUU